rnacentral:rRNA from 1 species
UACAUUUAUAUAGAUGGUUUAUACUAGUAAUAAAAAGAAAGUGCUUUGAGUUAAUAUUUUUAUAAAUUUACUGAAAGUAAUUAAAAGUGCCUUACAGUUACCUUUUGUAUCAUGAUCAUACGAGAAAUGUUCUAUGAGUUAUAUUUCCCGAAACUAAGAGAUCUACUCUUUAACCUGGGCUAUUGUAGCAAUAAUAGCUCCAAUAAAUAGUAGUUAUGAAAAUUUAGCCGAUCUUAGUUAUACCUGGUUUCACUCUCAAUUAUAUUAAAUAAUAAUCAUGCUGUGGUUAAUAUAUUACUUGGUUAAGCUAAGUAAACUAAAGUUGAAUUACCCAAAUAAUAAAGAACUAGAUUUAAAAGUAAUCUUUAGUUAGUGUCAUUAUAGCUACCUAUUCUAUUUAUCUUAAUCUUUUUAAUUAACUUUUAAUAGAGUGAAUUUUGGUUUAAUUAUUAUCCUAAUUUAUAAUGUAUGAAUUAUUAGCUUACAAUGUAUUAUAUUUUAAUACUUAAUAUAUAGAAUCAGAACUCGGCUUUUUUCUCCAACUGUUUAUUAAAAACAUAGCUUUGAGAUUUAUUCAAAGUAUCUUCUGCCCACUGAUACAAUUUAAUGGCCGCAGUACCCUGACUGUGCUAAGGUAGCGUGAUUCUUGUUUUCUUAAUUAGAAAUCUGUUCAAAGAAUGAAAUGGAGAGAAUCUAUUGUUUCUAUAACAAGUGAAUUUAAAAUGUUAGUGAAAAUUCUGACAAGUCCUUAAAAGACGAGAAGACCCCAUAAAACUUAAUUUGAUCUCUUUCUUAAGAGUUUAAAAUUUAAAUGGGGACUUUAGAGUAUAAUAAUAACUCAAAGACCUAUAUUUAUAUUAUUAGCGAAGCUACUUUGGGGAUAACAGGGUAAAAUAUUUAGAGAGUUCAUAUCGAUAAAUAUAUCUACUACCUCGAUGUUGGAUUAUCUUUUCAUAUAUAUUGUAGCAGUAUAUAUUGUUAGUCUGUUCGACUAUUAAAAAGUUACAUGAUCUGAGUUUAAACCGUUGUGAGACAGGUUGGAUUUUAUCUUUAUCUUAUAUUUUAAUACGUUAGUACGAAAGGAAUUCAUAUUGGUAAUGAUUACU